rnacentral:rRNA from 1 species
UACGUAGGGUGCAAGCGUUAAUCGGAAUUACUGGGCGUAAAGCGUGCGCAGGCGGUUCUAUAAGACAGAUGUGAAAUCCCCGGGCUCAACCUGGGAAUUGCGUUGGAGACUGCAAGGCUGGAGUCUGGCAGAGGGGGGUAGAAUUCCACGUGUAGCAGUGAAAUGCGUAGAGAUGUGGAGGAACACCGAUGGCGAAGGCAGCCCCCUGGGUCAAGACUGACGCUCAUGCACGAAAGCGUGGGGAGCAAACAGG